rnacentral:sRNA from 1 species
GCGGAAGAACAAAUGGAGAAAUGUCAGCAUCCUGAAGCUAAGGGUCUAGACCACAGGGCGGCACUAGCUAUAGAGAGUCUAGACCACAGGGCGGCACUAGCUAUAGAGAGUCUAGACCACAGGGCGGCACUAGCUAUAGAGAGUCUAGACCACAGUGAGG